CCGUGCUAUCGGUGUUUAUAUUCCCUUGAGGUUCGGCAAUAAAGAAACUUAUCACUCCAUCCAUGGAUGUCCGGCUUGUUGUUCUCCGUUUCCUCCUCCUAGUACUUGUGCUACAUCCAAAUCCUGCUGCCAUGGCCGAGUAUUGCGGGAAAGGAGCUUAUAGGCAGCCAUUUUGUUUCGACGCUUGGUGCAAAGGGCUUUGCUGGACGAAGGCGGCUCUCAUCGAGGGCGGCCAUGUCAAAGAUGCCUGGUGUUACAAAACACCAUUGGAUGCCAUUUGUGUUUGUUUGUUCUGCAGCAAAUGAUUAAUUAAUCUCAACAACAAAAAUAAAGGGUUUCUGCUAAAUGAAGUACUUGCUGCUUUUUCUCUCUGAAAAUGAGAAUCAGCCACCCAAACUGA